AUGUUGUUUGGAAAGCGCCUCCAGAGGCUUUUGCAAAGUUUAAGUGUUGAUGGUGCGGUGUCUAGGAAUGGUGGCAAGAGAGUUGUGGGAGUCAUGUGCCGCAACGAUCAAGGAAAGUUCAUGGGCUCGUCGUCGAUAACAUUCAAGAACAUCACGAGUCCUACGGUUCUGGAAGUCCUGGCAUGUUAA
rnacentral:rRNA from 1 species